rnacentral:rRNA from 1 species
GAUGAACGCUGGCGGCGUGCCUAAUACAUGCAAGUCGAGCGAACGGACGAGAAGCUUGCUUUUCUGAUGUUAGCGGCGGAGGGGAGAGAAACACGUGGAUAACCUACUUAUAAGAGUGGGAUAACUUCGGGAAACCGGAGCAAACAGCGGAUAAGAUUUUGAACCGCAUGGGGCAAAAGUGAAAGACGGUCGUGCGGGCACGUAUAGAUGGAUCCGCGCUGCAUUAGCUAGUUGGUAAGGUAACGGCUUACCAAGGCAACGAUGCAUAGCCGACCUGAGAGGGUGAUCGGCCACACUGGAACUUGGACACGGUCCAGACUCCUGCGGGAGGCAGCAGUAGCGAAUCUUCCGCAAUGGGCGAAAGCCUUACGGAGCGACGCCGCGUGAGUGAUGACGGUCUUCCGAUCGUGAAGCUCUGUUAUUAGUGAAGAACAUAUGUGUAAUUAACUGUGCACAUCUUGACGGUACCUGGUCAGAAAGCCCCGGCUAACUACGUG